CAAGGCGCAUCCUUCUAGGCUGUGGGCCGCACAGCGCGAAGCUACCGCCCCGCCCUUGGGAGGGGGCAAAGGGAGGGGGGGGGGAAAUGCGCUGCACCAAUAGGAAACGCAGCCGCGCGCCAUCGAUCUUCCCGCCAGCAAAUCAACAGCGCCUCUGGCGGGCCCUUCCGCCCGCUCCCAGGAGGUACUCGCCCUCAAGCAAGCGAGCGGGGGGGGGCGUGGCCAGGAAGGUGUCCCACUCCCAGACUCCUCCCCUUUCUCGCUCCAGAGCGGAGGUGCCGAGAGCCCUGGGCUAGCGGGAGGCGAGCACGCGUCAAAGCCCCGGGUUCGAGGCCCGGCCCGCCUUAGCCACGGGCGGGAGCCAGGGCCUCUGACACUAACCGACUGCUGAGCCGGGGAUCGCCGGCCCGGGGGGCGGGGGCAGCGUCUCCUCCCCUGGGGCCCGAGUCCAGGGCGCGCCGGCCCCUGGCUGACGCCGAAACAAGCGCCCAGCGGGCCGGGCCCCAGCCCCCGGCGCCCUAACCGCUGUCAACCGGCCUGCGCUGCGCCUGCAAAGGCCGAGCCGUUCCCUGAGGCGGUCACCCAGGGCCGGGCAGCGCGGCGGCGGGGAAGGUCCCACGCCGCAGCCAACCGCCCUGGCUCAGAGACGCUUGUAAGAGGCCAAGCCUCAGGGGCGCCCUAGGCCGGGCUCCCGAGGAGAGAGGGAUUACAUCUUCAGCUUUCAAUUCGUGGCAUGCUCUGAGAGUUGCCAUCAAGCCCGAUGAGCGGGGAAGCCGCAUGCCAAACCAACUCUGCUCUUGGUGAAGAAGCUGCCCGCGUUGCAAGCCACCCUGCUGAGCACUCUAGAAGGGUUGCUUACAAAAGGUCAGGCCAGCAACUGCAGUAGAAAUUUUUUUAAAAAGCUGUAUUCUUAGAGAAAAGUGUCUUCUCUGGAGGGCUGGCUGCAGAAUGGAAUGGAAUGGAAUGGAAUGGAAUGAAGACUGGGUGACAGUCAGUGCGUUUAAGACUGCAGAUAGCACUGUUGAUAAAGUUUGUCCAAGAAAGUUCAGCACUUUCCAUUUCUGCUCCUACCACCAAGAAUGCGGUGGGUGGAGUCAGUUGAACAAAUUCUAAACCCCGAUUAACCACAGGCUAACCCAGUGGCUCCAUGUCACACUGCCAUUUCAGGGGACCCAGGUUUAUCAGCUACCUUGAAGCUUGCAAACAUUACACUGGUGAAGAGAAGGGAUACUGUGGAAGUGACAUCCCUUGGAAAGAAGAGAAAACAAGGAGCACCACACUUCAGCACCCAGUGCUGGUGACUGAAUGCUGAUAAAGGCAAUCCCAAAAUGUCAGCUGGCCAAGAUAGCAAGUCAAGGAAAAUAAGGAUAUAAAGCAGUUGAUCCUCAAAUGAAGUGGUGGCUUAAUUCUUGUUUUCAUGCAUAAAGACAGAGAGAAAAGAGGGUAUUUUAAUUCACUAGAAGCCAUCCAGCUCUUCUUCUUCCAAGCUCCACCUACUUACAUGGCAU